CGUUCACAGAGCUCGAGACGAAGGCCUUCCAGAUCAGCCUUUGCGCCUUCAUACGGUGGGUCUUCAAAAACAGCGGCGACUCCUGCAGACUGAAAAUCUAACUCUCGAAGCUGUGAUCACGAUGAAAAGCCAGAGACUCUCUUUCAUGACGGACGAGAACAGGCGACUCAAGGAACUUUUGCGAACGCGCGUGCGACAAGCAACAGCCGUUAUGGUGGACGUGCACAAUCUUACGUGUGAGAUAACGGACAUCGAAGAUAAGGAAGAAAUUGCCACGAAAUAAGGCAAAGGAAGACGUAGGAGAGAG